rnacentral:lncRNA from 1 species
GCACUGGGGCGGCUCCGGCCUGGCGCCGCUGGUAACCCUCAGCUUUCUGAGGAUCCUGGGGAGAAGUCAAUGAGAUGGCACAGCUGGGCAUAUACAGCAUCAGCUCUUGUUAGGGGAGCCCCAAUACAAACUCUGCACAGGGAAUCAUCAGCUGAGGUAGGGGGGAUUGGUUCUGCUUGAGGACUCAGGCUGGGGACUGGGGCAGGCUCAGAUGGAGCAGGUGGGCAGGGCUGAGGAGGCUGCCUGGAGGAAGGGGCACUGGAGGAGUUGACCAGCCAGUAAUAGACAGAGAGGCAAGAGGGAAGUCGGAACCAAGGGAAACCACCGCCGAGUCACCAAGUCCUACCUUAGGCCCUUAUAGGCACCCGGCCCUGACUCCACACCAACCACAGCUGAGAGGCUGGGGAAGAGAAACCCAAGAGAAGUGGAAAGUCAGAAUCCCCCAGGGGAGAAAUUAGGGGGUGACUCAGGCGGGUGCAUCAUCAAGGGAGAGAAGCAUCCGCUGGAACACAGGUUCGGGAGCUGUGGAGGGGGCUGUUUCAACGUUGAGAGCAGAAGGCAGGGAGGCUGUAAGGCAGAAGUAGAGGCAGCUGGUGGCCAGCGUGGUGGCCCCACAGGGACAGGAGCCCACAGAGAGUGGGAGGCCAUGGAAGGCCUCUCACCAGCUUACUCCUGGGGGCUCUCAGCCGCAGCUAGGGCAGGGACACAGAGGGGCUGAGGUUGGACCCCUAGGUUUCCAUGAUGGACCCUGAGAAGCCAAUGCAAGGGCCACAAAC